GCAAAAUACCAGGUGUUAUUUUGACUUGUUUACAGACCUUAACACUAGUUUUCCCAGAACUAUGCUGAUUUUAGUACCCGAAGACUAGGUACUUUGGGUACUAAAAUCAGUACCCAGGAAACCAUUCAUUCCUGGGCAAAACAGGACAGUGGGUCAUCCUGAGCCCAUUGUCUCUCUUCUGUAUAAAAGGAGUUUGGCAAACCAUAGCCCCCCGGCAGACUCCUUCCAAACUCCUUCAGUAUUAUUCAUAUAAAGGGAGCCCUCCCAAGAUCUGAAGAGGAAAGUCCUGGAAGUUCCUGAGGUCUGGACUGUUUUGCAAAGACAGUAACAUCUGUGGGUACUGCCUUGGCCUUGGAGCCCUUAUGGAGAGAGUCCCCUUUUCCACAGAGCCCUCAGCUAACCUGGCUGCUGCUUCUUCCCCAUAGUGGCUCCUGAGUCUAUAGCCAAGGCGGCCCUGUUUUGUCUCACUUAAUAUUUUAAGCACACAGCCUGGCCCUCCUGGGCCCAGAAGCUCUCUGACAGUUGAGGGGAGGCUAGGAAGGUGAGGUAGGGAUAAUGCCACUCCAGGAAUCCAUGAAUAUUGAUUUCCCAGUUGCCCCAGGUAUCACUGAAUUCUGGUCCCUAGAAUCUGGUCCCAGGCCCAGCAUGUAACAGGUGCUGUACAAGAGUAAUUGAACCCUUGAAGAGGAGGAGGAAGGCACCUGCUGCUCCCGUGGGAGCUGGAAUGGGCCUCUUCUCCUAGCCUCUGCUUUUCAGAGGUAAUCAGAGAGGAGCAAAGAAGAGACUGCCAGACUGCUAGAGCCCACAGGGAUUUUGUGAGGUUUGUUUUUCCUCAGCACCGUCUGCUGAGGUAAGGGCAUGAAUAAAAGAAUGAGCAAAGAUUUACUCUUCCCACACCUUGGCAGUGAGCCCUGUAUUUGUAUAGUGGAUCCAAAGAGGACAGGCUAGAACAGGUGGGAAGGAAAGUAUGAUUUGUUCAAAGUCUCCUUCAGGGACCCCAGGGCAGCACUUAAGGUGAGACUGGGAGGGGUGUAUUUAGGCCAAUUCUCCAACCACCAGAGGCUAGAAUGCACUCCGCCCCCUGCCCAACCUUCUCCAUAUAUGAGGUGGAACAGUGCACAGGGCUUUAGGCUAGCAGAAUCAUUAACAGAGAGCUGGGGUCUGCAAGUCUCUUCACCUAGUGGCUGGAGUUGGACUGACAGUGUGCUGUUAAUAGGGCCCCAAAAGAUAGGGCUCUGGGGUGAACUUAUCAUUCAUGGUCUUCAUAAUGGGUACAUCCAGGAAUGACUUUUAUUUUGGCCUGGUCUGGUCUGGGCCUGGUUGGGCCUGGAUUGGGACUGUGACUUAGAACUUUGUAGCUGAAUGUAACCUUAAACAGGGUCUAUUAUUACCUCCUCAUGUAUGCCCAAGUGUAUACAAUCCAUAUUUUGGUAACAUUACACUUUCUCCAAAGGCCAUAAAAAUGGCUGUACAGAGGCAAUUUAAACUAGUGGUUGGAGGUAGCAGAAGAGCGGGAGGCCUGAGGGCCUGGGAAGGCCCUGGGAAAAAAUUCAAUCCAUGUUGUGUGUGUAUGUGUGCGUGCACCUGUGCGUAUGUGCAUGUGUGCGGGUUUGUGGGGAACCUGAAGAGCCUAAAGGAAGAGGAGGGUCGGGGAGAAGUUUGAAGAGGCUGAGGUAAUGCUGUACAGAAUUUCUCUUCAUGAAAGAGGAAGAUCUGAUUCCAGUUUCCAUGUGCAGGGCCCCCACCCCUUUAGCCACCCGCUUCAUGGACAAUGUCAGGGAAAUUCCCAUGUGGAGUACUAUACUUCCUCACCGAAGAUAUCCUCAGCCUUCAGGGGUGGCCAUGCUACAGCUGCUCUCAUCCCCCACCACACACACACAUGCAAUGCCUCAGUUCUUUAGUUGGCAGGCAUCAACCUGAGGAAUUGAUCGCAAUGGUCAUAUAUAAGAAACGCCAACCUACAACAGCAGGUAUGUGUGUGUGUGUGUGUGUGUGUGUGUGUGUGUGUGUGUGUGUGUGUAGGGGAGUUGUUUUCCCACAGGGCUUCUGACUUUUAAGUCCUCUUCUCUCAAGAUGUUUAGCAUUUGUAAGGCCACGGACCACAUGUCUGAAUAGCUAAAAUAUUUUUAAAUUAAAAAUAUUCUGUCCCCUUACCAUAACAAAUAUAUCUUUAUAAGGAUAUGAAAGGCCAGAUUCAAAUUUCAAAUUCUCAAAUCCUUAAAUUUCUGUCCAGGAGCACAGUGGAUCGGGAGUGUUGGCUUGUGGUCACAUUUUCUUCCAUCCAUGAUCCAGUAUCUCUUAUAAAGGGCCUUCUGUGCAGCUGUGUGGACACCCUCUUCUGCUUAGGGGUGUAUUUCCCAGAUGCCCAGAAUGCAGACUAGCCAGAGAAGCAGGGAGAGAGCUGGAUUUAUUGCUUCCCUCAGCCUCCUCUCUGCACCCUCAUCUACAUACAGAGGUACUGACAAGCUGAACAGAACCAGAGAGCUCCUUUGAAGAGACCUGGGGGCUGAGAAGCACCGAUCAGUGAUAGCCUUUCCAAUUGGGGCAUCCAUAGUCAUGGCCAUGGGAGUGGCCAUGGAAGUGGAGAAGCCCUGCUAAUGCUUGGAUGCCUCCAAGUGCUGAAGAGGAAGGUUAUGAACUCACUCCAGACCAGGCAACAAAAGUGAGGUGGCCCCAGCCUUGCUUUUUCCACCCCCCCAACUUGUGGUGCUACUUGUGUAUGCACAUUGGGAGCCCAGUUCCUUCAGAACCUCUUCAGUCUCUGCAAAUCUCAGCUCUGCCUCAGGAAAAUCCAGAGGACUCAUGCAAUUGCAUGAGCAUCUACAGAAGGGAUGAGGGAUGGUGUGAAAUGGAGGCAAACCAGUAGGAGAGGUGAUGCUGCAAAGGUGGGCAGGAAUGGAGGCAUCUCUCAGGGGUGAGUAGCUCCUCCAGGAAUCAGUGAGCUACACAUUGGCCUUGACUAGGCUGACCCUCCACCCCAGAGAAGGGAGAGAAGGGUCAGAGGGAAUCAGGUAUGCUGAGAGCUCACUACUCUGUGCCAGGGCUGUACAUGUGGUUUGCCCUUUGAUUGUUAUUUUAUAAGUCAGGUUUGACUGUUUUCAUCUUACAGAGGGGGAAACUGAAACCCAGAGAAGCUCAGUAACUUAACCGUAUUCUCACAGGUAGUGAUAAAACUCGAAUUUGAAGCCAUGCUUCUUUCACGGGGUGGGCAAUACACACUGACCCUUUUCAUUCCAGAAGGCAUGGAUCCCUCCUCCACUCCUUUUCCCUGGCUUCCUGUCCACCAGGCUAUGGCUGGCUCUGAAUGGUGCUUCUAGAAUUGGAAGGCAAAGCCCAUGAUUGUGUGUAUGUCUGCGCACGUGUGCGUGCAUGUGUAUGCUAACACACAGCACAGUGUGGGAAGCAUGGAGAGACAGGAAGCAUGGAAGGAGGCUCAUGACCCCCAGAGCUGUGGCAGGAUCCUCCACACCACACCACAGCCUCUGCUCCUGCCCAACCUCUCUCCUCUUCCUUAAGUUCAGACUCCUGGGAUGCCCUUCCCUAGGCUGCUCCAGGGCUUUGGGGGUGGGGUGCUGUCAUGUUGCAGGCGUCAAUCUCUUUCUCCAUGGGGGGGGCAAUUACAGAUGACUCACAUGUGGUGCAGUAUCAAAAACAACUUCAUUUUACUCAUUUCCCUCUUCUUCUAUGUGCUGAAAAGCUUUCAGGGGGUGGGGGGACUCUUUCAGAAAAUUACACCCUGCAUCUCCCUUUCUACUGCUCCUAGGAAAUCAUUUAAGAUGGAAAUUAAAGCCAAUUAUUGCACAUUUAA